rnacentral:rRNA from 1 species
CCUACGGGAGGCAGCAGUGGGGAAUAUUGCGCAAUGGGCGAAAGCCUGACGCAGCGACGCCGCGUGAGGGAUGAAGGUCUUCGGAUCGUAAACCUCUGUCAGCAGGGAAGAACGGUCACUGUGCUAAUCAGCAGUGAAUUGACGGUACCUGCAAAGGAAGCACCGGCUAACUCCGUGCCAGCAGCCGCGGUAAUACGGAGGGUGCGAGCGUUAAGCGGAAUUACUGGGCGUAAAGCGCUCGUAGGCGGUAUGUCAAGUCAAGGGUGAAAUCCCCGCGCUCAACGUGGGAACUGCCUUUGAAACUGGCAAACUGGAGUGUGUGAGAGGAUAGUGGAAUUCCAGGUGUAGGAGUGAAAGCCGUAGAUAUCUGGAGGAACAUCAGUGGCGAAGGCGACUAUCUGGCACAUAACUGACGCUGUGGAGCGAAAGCGUGGGUAGCAAACAGGAUUAGAUACCCGAGUAGUC